rnacentral:rRNA from 1 species
CCAAUAGCGUAUAUUAAAGUUGUUGCAGUUAAAAAGCUCGUAGUUGAAUUUCGGGGUUCUUCCGUUGGUCAGGCUAACAAGUCUGUACUAGCGUGUAGAAUCUCUACCUUCUGGGGAACCAUCAUGUUAUUAAUUUAGCGUGGUGGGAAACCAGGACCUUUACCUUGAAAAAAUUAGAGUGUUCAAAGCAGGCUUACGUCUGAAUACAUUAGCAUGGAAUAAUAAAAUAGGACGGUGGUCCUGUUUUGUUGGUUUCUGAAUCACCGUAAUGAUUAAUAGGGAUAGUUGGGGGCAUUAGUAUUCAAUUGUCAGAGGUGAAAUUCUUGGAUUUAUUGAAGACUAACUUCUGCGAAAGCAUUUGCCAAGGAUGUUUUCAUUAAUCAAGAACGAAAGUUAGGGGAUCGAAGACGAUCAGAUACCGUCGUAGUCUUAACCAUAAACUAUGCCGACUAGGGAUCGGACGAGGUUAAAUUUUAUUGACUCGUUCGGCGCCUUACG